GUGAUGUAUCACACCUGGGGUUGAGAGUCCUCUUCAACAGCCAUCUCUCCAUCUCUCCACUGUGAGUUACUCCUCUGCUUGUUCAAAACAAUCUUGACUGGAUAUGACGAUCUCUCUGAUGCCAUGGGGAGAGGAAGUAGAUCUGGCCCAGUUCAUCGCCACACACCAGUUCACUGGAGCAGUGCGGGUUGACCUUCAAGACUAGAACAGGACCCACACACACAAACACACCCACCUGUAGAGAGAUCGAGAGAUAUCGUGUUCUGUCAUGGGACGCCGAGAUGAUCGUGCUGUUAGUGAGUCGCAGUACACUGAUCCUGUCACUGUGUGCCUAAAGAAUAUCCAUCAAAAUCAUCAUUGAAAAAAAGACAUCAGUUUCAAAAGGUUGACAUCUUACAGGUUUCCUGCUGCUCCAGGAGUUUACAUUUGGUGGCUGGUAGAACCACAUUUUCCCCUUGGAAUCUCCCACACCAGAAACUCUAGAGACAGGACACAGAAUAACAGUCCAGUUAAUAAAUGAUUCAUAUAACAACUUGUUAUGUGAGUGUCAUUGUACUGCAGUGCAGUUAUCUAGCCACCUUUUCCCCCACUAGACAUGGACCAAUGUCACCACAUUUUUUAAAUGUAACCUUUAUUUAACUAGGCAAGUCAGUUAAGAACAAAUUCUUAUUUACAAUGACGGCCUACCCCGGACGACGCUGGGCCAAUU